UACGAAGGGGGCUAGCGUUGUUCGGAAUCACUGGGCGUAAAGGGCGCGUAGGCGGCCGCUCAAGUCGGGGGUGAAAGCCUGUGGCUUAACCACAGAAUUGCCUUCGAUACUGUUUGGCUUGAGACCGGAAGAGGUGAGUGGAACUGCGAGUGUAGAGGUGAAAUUCGUAGAUAUUCGCAAGAACACCAGUGGCGAAGGCGGCUCACUGGUCCGGUUCUGACGCUGAGGCGCGAAAGCGUGGGGAGCAAACGGG
rnacentral:rRNA from 1 species